AUGGCAGUUAUGCAGGAGUUUGAUGUGAAUGUUCAUCGCACAAAGAUGAGAGCUCUGUUGUUACUUAAACAGACCAGAUCAGUGGAUGAGUACAAACGGGAGUUCACCCAACUAGUGUAUCAGCUUUUGUUGUAUGAACCGACAGUGAGUGACACAUUUUUGGUGGUGAGGUUCACUCUGGGCCUCAAGGAAGAACUCCGGGCUGCUGUUGAUAUGCAUCUACUUACUGCUGUUAGUGAAGCAGCUUCAUAUGCAUUGAUUCAGGAAGAGAUGGUACAGCAUGCUCGCUCCAACAAAAGUUUUACUACCAGAAUUGCCUUCUUCAAGCCGGACACACACCCAAGCACUCCACCUGCUGGAGAGCUAUGGAAAGCAAGGCAGUUGAAGGAGUAUAGGCGCACUAAUGGCCUGUGUUUCAGUUGCGGUGGCAAAUACAAACCUGGUCAUACUUGUGUGAAACCACCCACUCCUACUGCAGUCAUGGCCAGCUGA
rnacentral:rRNA from 1 species